CCUGUGGACACAGCGCGGCACUGCAGCCCCCCCGAGCCAGCGCCCCGCCCCUCGCAGCUGGGCGCCGGGGGGGCGGGGGAAGGACGGCUGCCGAGGGAGGGGAGGGCGAGGGGCGGGAGAAGCGAGCGGCGAGCGGGGCGGUGUCUGUAAAUAGCGGGGAGGGGCGAAGGUGUUUCAGAAGCGUAAAGAGACGCCGUGGCUGAGGUGAAUGGCGGCGGCGAGGGCGGCCCGGCGGGGCCGGUUUCGGCGGGCGGCAGGGGCGCGGUCGCAGCGGUGCACGGGCCGGGGGCAUGCGAGCGGCGUCGGAACAGGGCUGCACCCCCCCUAGCCCCCGCGCGCGCCCCGCUCCAGACGGUGGAGGCGACCGCGUGCCGGAAAAUCCCGGCGGGGCGGCGCCGGUCCGGCGUGCAGGCGGUGCGAGCCGUGCGGAGUCGAGGGGGGCUUUGCCGGGCCGGCGGGCGGAAGAGGCGGCGCGGGCGCUGCGCUGGUCCCGGCCGGUGCCGGUCGCUCUGUCCGCUCCCCGCGAGGAGAACGAGCCAACGUCCCGUCACGUUUCAGCAAUACCAAAUCACCUCAUCUCUUCUUAAUCCAGGCAGGCUCUGCGACGACGGCGUCGGCCUCCGAGCGCAGCCGAAGCGUGCGCCCCGAGGAGCCCGGCAUUCUUAGGAGAAUGCUGUUUCUGUACUCCUGACUUCCCGUCACGCCAGGGACACGUGGCUUGGAGCACAGCAGCCGGAUUCCUCACUUAGCCGUGUCAGCUUGGUGCAGGUUACGAAUUACAGGGUGACUUGGAAACCCAGAAACAAAGGGAAGAAGCUGGUAUGUCUCUUAGCAGGG